CAACUAAAGCAGCCCUUGAGUAUCACUUGCUUCCUCCUCUCUUUACUUCUUUGUUUCUUAUGUUGGACCUUCUUUUUUUAUGUCCCUCAUUGCAGUAAGUCCACGGUCCACAUGGUUUCAUGCCCACCUCUACAGCCAUUACAUCCACUGAAAUCACAGGUGGAACAGUUAACAUCAGUGUCACCUGCCAGGGCCUUCAACCUAAAAUUUGGAUAAGACAUGCUUGUUCCAGGCAGUGUUAAUUCCCACAUCCUGGGAACAUUAGGUCAAUUGUUUGUCAAAUUACCCAGGGUUAAACUUCAGGAGUUUUUAUAGAUUGAGCCCUGACCUCAGGAACAUCCUCACCACCUUUUCAUUCUAAGGAAACUGAAGCAAAAAGUCUCCCAGAAAUAAUGGUCUUCUUUCACCUAGCUAACAGAAGGGUUUGGAUUAGGCCCAAUCCCUGAUGACAGUCAUACUUCCACUAGCUGGUGAAGCUGUUAAAUCAAGAUUACUGGACUCAGCCACGCUAGCAUGUUUGCAGCUCAUGAUCUCAGGAGCUUACUCAUUUUUCAGUCCUACUUGUGGAUGGAUUAACUUUGGAUGCUUGUUGAAUGUGCAAAACAUGAAUUUGACAGUAUGCCAAAGACUGUCUUUUCAGAAAUAUUGUCCUUCCCUUAUACAAUGGCUUGCUUGGCCUGCAGAUUUUUUUUCUUUAACUACAAGCAAUUGAAAAGGUUUUGGUAAACAAUAUAAUGUUAAAUAUAUUUAACAGUGUUGUAUACUGCUUGGCAAAAGGGUUGCUUUCUUCUAUCAUGAAUAAUAAAAAGGAUUGGGCUGCUGUUUCAGAUGUGGUAUGCAUAUGCCUGGAGAACUCCAUUCUUGGUGACGAUGUACUUCCAGCAUUUUCCACAUUCUGUCCUAUGUGUUCCUACCUCUGCCCCAUGUUGCCCAAAAGGAUAGAAGAGCAGAGGUCUUAAAGCCUCACUGCAUUUUUUCAGAAAAGGGACUCUGAUAUAGCAUGUUCUGGUAAGAAAAGAAGACAGAAAGUGUGGCAUCAGGAAUUGAGAAAGAUAUGAAAGAAUGCAAAUUAGGGGAACUUCUCAGGUAUGGAGGAAAUAUAAUGUGUAAACAUAACCUUAAAACUUGGAAGCCAACCUCUAUCCAGCCAGAGACCUACUAUGCAGCCACAAAGCUGAAGAAAGAAAUGAUUUACAGGUGAUAAUCUGAUUAAACUCUCCACUGGCUGCACCUGAGAUUAUAUCAGAUUAAAUCUCACAUAUUAGCAAUUUGGGCAUAGUCAGGCUUUUGUCCCUUCACCAAGGGGUCACUGCUCUAGGCAUGAGGAAGUUUGAGGAAAGAACAGUUGUGCUUCUCAUACUUCAAAUGAACCUGAUAGGUCUCAAGAAGAGUCUGACCUUUUCGGUCUUCAGCCACAAGGCUGGAUGGUUGCACCAAUUUUAAUAAAUUGAUUGUGCCAAGGAAUGUUCCCAGGCACUCAACUCCAACUAAAUACUAGUAAAGUGUUAGAACAAUCCAUGGCACUGUUUUAGUCUUGGUCAACUAUCACCUUCCCAAACCAUUCCUGUAAACUCUGUGAAUUUGUUGCAGGGACUGAACCCAAAGGCAUUCAGGAUGUGGCAACCCUCUUCUGGAGGUAAAAGCUUACUAGUGCAAAUGCAGAUCUUUCUAUACCACAGCCUUAGGGACACAGAGCAGACAGACCUUGAAGCUUGGUUGUGACUGUUACAGCCGAACUGCCUCCAGAGGUUCAGGCAAAAGAACAACAGUGGAAAAUAAUACACCUCAUCAUAAUUUAUCUGUAAUUAAAUUAAAAGGUGAGCCUUUCUGCCUGCUCUGUUAAUCUAAUUAAAGUAGGCUGCUGAAAUCAGUGGGAAUAGAUGCCAGUGCAGGUGUGACUGUGUGAUGCAGACACAUUGGAACAGGCCACUAGGCAAAAGAAAACACCACCUUUCCUCAGACCAGCACAUCUCUGCCAAGCAUUUCUGUUCAUUGUGGGUCAUACAACUAAACAAGAUCUGAAAACCUUAAUAGACAAGAAUAAAAUAAGAUUUUGGAUAAAGGCAACAUGGAAGACCAAAAAGAAGGAAGGUUCUGCUUGUGAGGAAUCAUUUAAAACAAUAGAACCAUUCAGGAUGAAUUGCUGGGAGAUAAUAGAGGGCUAUAAAGUUGUGAGGAGAAAAGAAAAAGUGAAAAGAAAUUGACUGUUACUGGCUUUCUCCAGUGCCAGAAUCAGGGGGAGUCAAAUUAAAUCAUCAUGUGGCAUGUCCACAGAGUUUUGAAACUCUUUGUUACAAGAAUCUGUGGAUGCCUAUAGUCAUCAUGAUUCACAAAGCAGAUUUACCUACAAUUCUAAAACAAAUACGCUACUUGUGGACAUGAAUUACUGGAAGUCAAGGCAUUAUUUGGAAGAAAAGCAAUGCACACUUCUCCAGUUGUUGCAUUCCUCCCUUUAGGAACCAGCUGAUGUCCUAGGCAAGGAGGAUCUUCUAGGUGGCCCAGUGUGGCCAUUUCUAUGGUCAGACAUGGAUUUGAGGAGAGAAACCCAAUCCAGUAACUGACUGGGUAAAUGAAAUUCCAGUCACUGUCUCUGACUCCUUCUUCUUUCCACCCCACCAGUCAUGAAGCUUCUCAGUCGUCCUUCAUGCCCCCUGCUCCCUCACUUCCAUCUUCAAUAUCUCUACAGUUAACUGACUCCAUAUGACAGAAGAAGCUCAUAGGUGCAAUCUUUGAUUUUGCCUGUUACCCAU